rnacentral:rRNA from 1 species
UAACACGUAGGGGGCGAGCGUUGUCCGGAUUUAUUGGGCGUAAAGAGCUCGUAGGCGGCUCGGUAAGUCGGGUGUGAAACCUCCAGGCUCAACCUGGAGACGCCACCUGAUACUGCUGUGGCUAGAGUCCGGUAGGGGAGUGUGGAACUCCUGGUGUAGCGGUGAAAUGCGCAGAUAUCAGGAAGAACACCAGCGGCGAAGGCGGCACUCUGGGCCGGAACUGACGCUGAGGAGCGAAAGCGUGGGUAGCAAACAGGAUUAGAUACCCUGGUAGUCCACGCCGUAAACGUUGGGCACUAGGUGUGGGUCUCAACCAACGAGAUCCGUGCCGCAGCUAACGCAUUAAGUGCCCCGCCUGGGGAGUACGGCCGCAAGGCUA